UAUUGCACAGUAUCGUGUGGGUGAGACCCUGCGUUCAGGUUCGAGCCGAGCGAAGCGAGACAACAACGCGCAGCGUUGACCCGAAGGGCGAGUCCAGAGGACGAGUCAUCCCGCACGACCCACCA
rnacentral:sRNA from 1 species